rnacentral:ncRNA from 1 species
UUAUCGGAGAGUUUGAUCCUGGCUCAGGACGAACGCUGGCGGCGUGCCUAAUACAUGCAAGUCGAGCGGAUUGAUGGGAGCUUGCUCCCUGAUAUCAGCGGCGGACGGGUGAGUAACACGUGGGUAACCUGCCUGUAAGACUGGGAUAACUCCGGGAAACCGGGG